UGACUUUUUGAAUUGCAAAAUUGGUCGAUUAAAGCUUCACAAUCUAAACGUUGAAGUACAUCUGAUUCGAUGCAUAGAAUAUCUAAGCUAUUGAGUCUAUUUGCACUCAUUGCAGAACCUAAAGUAAUAAAUAUUCGAUAUGCGAUUUCUACGUUCGGAAACUCUGUAUAAAGGUCGUUUGCAAGCAAAAGUUUCAGAAUAUCGGAAGGUGAAUUUUGUUCCAUCUUGUUUUCAGUGCAAUAAGCAUGGAAGUGCACAAAUUCGUAAUCCAAUGAGGACUCAAGAUCUGAAGAAUAAACAUUUCGUAAACGUUUAGCUCAGUUACGAAUCUCUUUAUUAUCCAAAUUGUCAAAUUCAAUAAUAACUGAAAACUUUUCAUGAAUCUUUUCAUAUGCAACACAUCUUUUUCGCAAUUCAGAAUCUAGAUUGUCAAGAAUGAAAAGUGUUGACUCUAAAGUGGGCUCGACCUGACGCAUACCGUAAUUCAUCAGCAUAUUUCGAAUUAAUUUCUCGUAUCAGCAACAACUUUGAUGAAACCACGAUAAUCGUCGAUCACGUCAGCAAUGCUACAAUCACUUUCUUUCUUCGACUAACAGCAUUGAAUCGUGAGAGUAAAAAAUGCCAAAGUAUCUGCAUAAUUCCUGUUUCAAGUCGCUCCAAUUGAAUACGUAAACCUUUAGCUUCUGGUCUUGUAAUUGCAUUUUCUUCCAUAUUUUCUUCAAUAAUAAUCAAAGUCUCGAUUAUUUCGUCAAAAUGUUGAUUAAUAUGAAAUUGUAAAACUACCCAGCGGUGCGUCGAUGCAGUAAAGAAGUUGUGUAAAGUUUGUACAGUAUUAAAGAUAGAAGCAGCUUCUGGCGCGCAUUCUAUUGCGUGAAUAAAUGCCUGAUUGCAUUGUUGAUGACUGACUUCGACAGUCGGUGAGAUCAAGAUCAAAAAACUCGAGAAUCGAUAAUACAGCAACUAGCAAAUCUUCAGCUUUAUGUCCAGAAUUUUGAAUGAACAUCAGAAAACGUUCAACAAUCCUUCCAUCUUUUCGCACGUAUCUGAUAACAAACGAAAGUCGACAUGAGAUAUAUCAAGUGUGGAAUCUACAAUAAUCGCAUAAUAUUUCGCUGAUUUGACUUCUUGAACUAUGAUAGAAGAUACUUUUUAUAAUGGGUGAAAAGAAGCAAGAAAUUCAAUCAGCAUUACAAAAUUUCCAUUAUUUGGUGACCCAAACUUUUCAUCACUUCCUCGGAAUGGAAGUCCUCCAGAAGCUAAGGCUUUAGUAGCAGCGACUACUCUUCAUUAUCUUCUAUAUUUAUAGCUGUAUCUUGAAGUUCGCUUCCAUGAUGGAUAUUCUGUGGCAACGAAGAACUACGACUUAUCAGCAUUAUGACUCGCAGACGGAGUUUGUUUUGAAGUUAAAGUAGA